rnacentral:lncRNA from 1 species
UUGUGAGCUGUUUUUCUCCCAAACACUUGUUUUCAAAACAUCUUCAUAGUUGAAGCUUCUUUUCUUCUCCUCUCACAAAUACAUGAGUGGGAUGAAGUUGAAAAAAGUAGCUUAUUGCAGCACUUUCUCUUAUUUCUUUCUCCCAUCUAUGCAAGAAAUAGUUGAUGAAGCUAUUUUACAAAACACUUUUUCUAAAGUAGCUUAUCUUUAUCUAGAAAGUUGCUCAUCAAACUAUUUUCUAAAAAAAAGCUUUACUAGUAAAGUUGAGCUGUGCCAAACGGGCCUU